rnacentral:lncRNA from 10 species
AUGGCGGGCUGCAGGUCCCGAGCCCUGUCCCGCAGGAAGGCAGCCAAGGCCUGGUGAGAAAUCGAGCGCAGCGUCGGUGGGUUGGCACUGCUGGGGGACCCAGUACACCCUCCGCAGCCUCUGGCCCGGGUGCUAAGCCCCUUAUUGCCCGGAGCCGGCAGGGCCGGCCGGCUGCUCCGAGUGCAGGGCCCGCCAAGCCCACGCCCACCCGGAACUCCAGCUGGCCCGCAAGCGGCGCACGCAGCCCCGGUUCCCGCUUGCGCCUCUCCCUCCACACCUCCCUGCAAUCUGAGGGAGCCGGCUCCGGCCUUGGCCAGACCAGAAAGGGGCUCCCACAGUGCAGCGGUGGGCUGAAGGGCUCCUCAAGUGCCGCCAAAGUGGGAGCCCGGGCAGAGGAGGCGCCCAGAGCGAGGGAGGGCUGUGAGGACUGCCAGCACGCUGUCACCUCUCAGUAUGAUUAUUUCCAAACGAAGGAAAAGAAACUCAAGGAGGUUGAUGUUUUGAUCAACUAACAAAUCUGGAGCCUGCCUUCAGCUUGGGGGAACACUUAAGAAUCUGUCCUCAGGAAUAUACAUGCUGCACCACAGAAAUGGAAGACAAGUUAAGCCAACAAAGCAAACUCGAAUUUGAAAACCUUGUGGAAGAGACAAGCCAUUUUGUGCGCACCACUUUUGUGUCCAGGCAUAAGAAAUUUGACG